CGCACCUUGCGCUCCUUGGUAUUCCAUGGAGCAUGCCUGUUUGAGUGUCACGUAAACCCUCACCCUCGCGAUGUAACAGUCGCCCGCGGUGGACUUGGACCGUGCCGUAAUCGGCUCGUCUUGAAAUGCAUUAGCUGGCGCUUUUAGAGUGCUGGGCGACGGUGUGAUAAUUAUCUGCGCCAAUAGCCCUGGGCCUCUUCAGCGGCGCUGCUUACAGCCGUCCCUCGUGGACAACUAUUUUAAAGCUUUGGCCUCAAAUCAGGUAGGACUACCCGCUGAACUUAA
rnacentral:misc_RNA from 1 species